GAUGAACGCUGGCGGUAUGCUUAACACAUGCAAGUCGAACGGACUCUUCGGAGUUUGUGGCGGACGGGUGAGUAACGCGUGAGAAUCUGGCUUUGGGGUCGGGACAACCACUGGAAACGGUGGCCAAUACCGGAUGUGCCCAGAGGUAAAAGAGAAAAUGCCUGAAGAUGAGCUCGCGUCUGAUUAGCUAGUUGGUGAGGUAAAGGCUCAACAAGGCAGCGAUCAGUAGCUGGUCUGAGAGGAUGACCGGCCACACUGGGACUGAGACACGGCCCAGACUCCUACGGGGGGCAGCAGUGGAGAAUUUCCCGCAAUGGGCGAAAGACUGACGGAGCAAUACCGCGUGAGAGAAGAAGGCUCUUGGGUUGUAAACCUCUUUUCGUAGGGAAGAACAAAAUGACGGUACCUAAGGAAUCAGCAUCGGCUAACUCCGUG
rnacentral:rRNA from 1 species